GACGGGGGGGGCAAGUGUUGUCCGGAUUUAUUGGGCAUAAAGAGCGUGUAGGCGGUUAGGUAGGUCCGUUGUGAAAACUCGAGGCUCAACCUCGAGACGCCGAUGGAAACCCCCUAACUAGAGUCCGGAAGAGGAGAGUGGAAUUCCUGGUGUAGCGGUGAAAUGCGCAGAUAUCAGGAAGAACACCCGUGGCUAAGGCGGCUCUCUAGUACGGUACUGACGCUGAGACGCGAAAGCGUGGGGAGCGAACAGG
rnacentral:rRNA from 1 species